AUACGGAGGAUGCGAGCGUUAUCCGGAUUUAUUGGGUUUAAAGGGAGCGUAGAUGGGAGCUUAAGCCAGUUGUGAAAAGCGCGGGCCCAACCCGCGUCGUGCAAUUGGAACUGUGUUCCUUGAGUGGGUUCGGGGCAGGUGGAAUUCGUGGUGUAGCGGUGAAAUGCUUAGAUAUCACGAAGAACUCCGACAGCGUAGGCAUCCUGCCAGGCCCUUACUGACAUUGAAGCUCGAAGGUGCGGGUAUCAAACAGGAUUAGAUACCCUGGUAGUCCGCACGGUAAACGAUGGAUGCCCGCUGUCGGCGACAGACAGUCGGCGGCCAAGCGAAAGCGUUAAGCAUCCCACCUGGGGAGUACGCCGGCAACGGUGAAACUCAAAUGAAUUGGCGGGG
rnacentral:rRNA from 1 species